UUGCAUCAAAAAGUUUCUUUUUAAAAAAAAAAAUUCUUAUUUGAUUAUUUUUUGAUCACACAAAUUCAUUGCGAAUAAAUUCUACUUUCAUAAUACAAAUUGCCCCACAUAAAGUAUAAAUUAUAAUUAUAAAUUUCACAUUAUUUAUUGCAUUGGGCAUUCAGAUCGAAUUAACUCUUAAUCAAAUCGAACCUAAAAUUCAAUUCAAGAUCGGUUCGUUUUGGACAACCCAUAUUUCAUUAUUUUGUUUCGAAUUUACUAUUCACUUCCACGAAAGCAUCACCCCAGUGACUCAGCAGCAGUGAGCUAACAAAAGCUUGCAAAACAAAACCACCGCCACCACCAGCCACCAAGCCAAACGGGUGUCACUACCGUCGACCAACACUCGAGCGGCUUCCCUCCGUUGUCGUCUUCAUUAGUCUUCGUCGUCUUCUUCCAGUCGCGCGCAUGAACAGCCGCAGUCGAGGCAUUUUAUCGUCGUCAUCUCCGUCGUCAGUUCCGGUCCAUUCAUGCUUAAGUUUUCAACUUUUCUUUCUGCUGUUUCGCAGUCUAUCGGUGCCCGAUGAUUGGAUUAAGCCAAAUCCGAUACGCCCAAUUGCCCAUUUCCUUAUUUUCUUCAAAAUUCUGUAUUUUUUUUUUAAUAUACUUUCCCAAAGUUUUUUACUUUGCCUAAAGUUGAUUUGCUUGGAUUGUUUUAUUAUUGACUUUGUAAUUUUGAUUUUAUUAGGCUAAAUUUGUCCAUUGCAUUUUUUUUAUAUAUAAUUUGAGAAUAUAGAAUUCAGGGUGAAUUU
rnacentral:lncRNA from 1 species